rnacentral:rRNA from 1 species
UUGGACAGAAAAGACGUAUGAAGCUUUAUUGUAUCUUGGAAUUGAACUUGGGUUUUAUUUGCGCMGUAUAGGUGGGAGGCUAUGAUGAUCKACUUGCGGGUUGUUYUGAGCCAAAAGUGAGAUACCACUCUGGUAAAACUAAAGUUCUAACCUUGCAAGCCGUUAUCCGGCCAAGGAACAGUUUCAGGUGGGCAGUUUGACUGGGGCGGUCGCCUCCUAAAAAGUAACGGAGGCGUGCAAAGGUUCCCUCAGGCUGGUCGGAAAUCAGUCGUARAGUAUAAAGGCAUAAGGGAGCUUGACUGCAARACCUACAAGUCAAGCAGARACRAAAGUCGGCCUUAKUGAUCCRACAGUUCCRAGUGGAAGGGCUGUCCCUCAACGGAUAAAAUUUACUCUAGGAAAAAAGGGCUAAAAA